AGCAGCAGCCGCGGUAAAACGGAGGGUGCAAGCGUUAAUCGGAAUUACUGGGCGUAAAGCGUGCGUAGGCGGUUCGUUAAGUCUGUUGUGAAAGCCCCGGGCUCAACCUGGGAAUGGCAAUGGAUACUGGCGAGCUAGAGUGUGUCAGAGGAUGGUGGAAUUCCCGGUGUAGCGGUGAAAUGCGUAGAGAUCGGGAGGAACAUCAGUGGCGAAGGCGGCCAUCUGGGACAACACUGACGCUGAGGCACGAAAGCGUGGGGAGCAAACAGGAUUAGAUACCCCCGUAGUCCCUGUCUCUUAUAC
rnacentral:rRNA from 1 species